rnacentral:tRNA from 1 species
GGUUCCAUGGUGUUAUGGUUAGCACUCUGGACUUUGAAUCCAGCGAUCCGAGUUCGAGUCUCGGUGGAACCU